rnacentral:lncRNA from 1 species
AAAGUGCAGCCGUGGUUCCAACAAUUUAAGACGAAUUUUGAUCCCAUAAAGAUGAGCUUUGACGAUGAUCCAAAAUAGGCUCUUAAUGAUAAAAAGGGAGAUGAUAAAUUAUGUUCUAUUGUUAUUUUGAUUUGACGAAAAAUUAACGAUCUUAUUUUUUGGUAUAGGGGAAUUUUCGUACAAUUCACGAGUGCAGACUUUGAGUCAAAUUUUGGACCUGCUAUUAUCCGAAUUUGAGAAUGUGUAAAACACGAAAUCUGUAGGCAUUUUUGUUGGCUGUCCGAAACAUCUUGAAUCGCUGAAAUCGGACAUCGAACGAGAGAGAUAUGCUCCAAACACUGAGCACUGCUGCAGCUGCAAAAUUGUGCGCGUUUUUGAGGUAUCAAAAGAAUUCGUAAUGGAAAAUUAUUGAAUCUGGUAUGUUCUUCGUUUCCACAUUACUUUACAUAAUUUUGCACUAGUACUUAUAAUAUUGCAUAUGGUAAUAAUUUGAGAUGUGGAAAUUGAAAUAAUAUAGUAGUCUAUUUUUGUUCAUAAAAACUGAUACACGUAUUAUGAUUAUAUAAAUUAUUGAUAUUACAUAUAAUCUCUAUGGAU